UACGAAGGGGGGCUAGCGUUGCUCGGAAUCACUGGGCGUAAAGGGUGCGUAGGCGGGUUUUUAAGUCAGGGGUGAAAUCCUGGAGCUCAACUCCAGAACUGCCCUUUGAUACUGAAGAUCUUGAGUCCGGGAGAGGUGAGUGGAACUGCGAGUGUAGAGGUGAAAUUCGUAGAUAUUCGCAAGAACACCAGUGGCGAAGGCGGCUCACUGGCCCGGUACUGACGCUGAGGCACGAAAGCGUGGGGAGCAAACAGGG
rnacentral:rRNA from 1 species